GACGAGGGGUGCAAACGUUAUUCGGAAUGAUUGGGCGUAAAGGGUGCGCAGGCGGCUCAUUAAGUCAAUCGUUAAAUUCCCCGGCCUAACCGGGGGUCAGCGAUAGAAACUGAUGGGCUUGAGGAUGGAAGAGAGAAGUGGAAUUCUCGGAGUAGCGGUAAAAUGCGUAGAUCUCGAGAGGAACACCGAUGGCGAAGGCAGCUUCUUGGUCCAUUCCUGACGCUCAUGCACGAAAGCGUGGGGAGCAAAC
rnacentral:rRNA from 1 species